rnacentral:rRNA from 1 species
GGGGCCCUACGGGGCGCAGCAGUGGGGAAUAUUGCACAAUGGGGGAAACCCUGAUGCAGCGACGCCGCGUGAGUGAAGAAGUACUUCGGUAUGUAAAGCUCUAUCAGCAGGGAAGAAAUAGCGACCUUUGGGUCGCCAGACGGUACCUGAUUAAGAAGCCCCGGCUAACUACGUGCCAGCAGCCGCGGUAAUACGUAGGGGGCAAGCGUUAUCCGGAUUUACUGGGUGUGAAGGGAGCGUAGACGGCAGCGCAAGUCUGAAGUGAAAUGCCGGGGCUUAACCCCGGAACUGCUUUGGA